GACGGACCCCGCACAAGCGGUGGAUCAUGUUGUUUAAUUUCGAUGAUACGCGAAGAACCUUACCAGGUCUUGACAUCCCCCGCGAUGCUUUAGAGAUAAAGCGGAGGUAUUCGGGGAGACAGGUGGUGCAUGGUUGUCGUCAGCUCGUGUCGUGAGAUGUUGGGUUAAGUCCCGCAACGAGCGCAACCCCUAUUGCUAGUUACCAUCAUUAAGUUGGGGACUCUAGCGAGACUGCCAGUGAUAAACUGGAGGAAGGUGGGGAUGACGUCAAAUCAUCAUGCCCCUUAUGACCUGGGCUACAAACGUGAUACAAUGGCUGGAACAAAGGGAUGCGAAGCAGUGAUGUGGAGCGAAACCCAUAAAAACAGUCUCAGUUCGGAUUGAAGUCUGCAACUCGACUUCAUGAAGUCGGAAUCGCUAGUAAUCGCGGAUCAGAACGCCGCGGUGAAUACGUUCUCGGGGUUU
rnacentral:rRNA from 1 species